CACUUUCCGCGAAAAACCAAUGCCAGCAUGGCCAUAAAACACUACAUACAAAUCGAAAUCUAAAAAGCGCGGAACUUUCAUAGAUUUUCCGUCGGAGCAAUUAUUUUUCAACCCUGUAGAAAAAGCGGGCUCAAUUAAUCGCGCGGAACGUUAUUUAUCUACUCUGUACAAAUAGUAGUGUUUAAAAUCGCGCGGAGAUUGUAGAAUGCUAUUUUAAGAAGUCUAUUAAAGAGAGAAAAUCCAGUAAAUACCAGAUCCAAAAAGCGCGGAACACAAAUAUCGUCCGCGAAAAUUAAGCAUUGAAUUACUGUACAAAUCUCGGGUUGUUAGGUGUUAGAAUCCCUAGUUACCCGAAAAAUUUGAUUGGAUCCGAUACUUAGAAAUAACCAAUCAGAUACUUUGUAACAAAUGCAACACAAUCAGUGCGUUCAGUAAGUAUAACGUUUCAAGAUGGCGGAGCGAAUUGCAUGGUUAUUGUUUCUACUCGAUGGAUUCGCAGAUAAUUCGGAAAUAGAUCAGAUUGGGAUCAAUAACUGUAUUGCAUACGAUCAUUUACAUGUAUUACCAGGUGUGUGUUGCCAGUUAUGGUUGAAGAUAUGCCAAACAAAUUGUGCCGCUCUUUACAGACAGAUUUCAGGUCUCAAUUUCGACUUCAAAGGUCAACAUAUCACUGAUAUCAGGAAUUCUGUACAACUGUGGAACCAUGUAUGGUACGUGACCGCACAAUGUUGGUUGGCAAAAGGAUAUUGGAAUAAGCAAAGGGACUCAACAUUACACAGUCAUUUCAACAUGUAGAGUCUUGUCAGCAAUGAUGGAGCAGUACCUGGUACUUCAGAUUUCCAGAAUCUCGUCAUGAGCUGAAGAUCAUUGCCUAUGAAUUUCAUGAAUGAUGUAGAAUGAUUGGACUGUUGAUGGAACCCACAGUGCAUGUCCUGCUUCAACAUCUGAGCAUAGGUCCUUGUUUAUCAGCAGUUUAGUUCUUCAAGCAGUCUGUGACAGUAACUUGAAAUGUUUGGACAUAUGACCUGGAUGGCCAAGUUCUGUGCAUGCAGCCCAUUUAAAUAGGAACGGCCCAGUGGCGCAUUAAAUGGACAUUUUUCGAAUGUUCUCGAGGAUUCAGCUUACCGCCUGACAAAAAAUCUUGCUUUUUGUUCAGUAUCGAGGCCAUGGACAUUUGUAUCAUUUGCAAAAGAUACUGCGAUAUUUGUGCCUUUGUUCAUGCUUUAUAGUUGAUUAACAAUUGGAAGCCAUAACCUGUUUUAUAGGAUGGUGUUAGUGGGACAAUGAAUUUUGUAAAGAUUUAAAGACUGGAAAAGAUAAUUAAAAGUCAAAAGAGUUCUGCUAUUGUUAAGCAUGCUUUAUUGAUUUGUAAUGUUAGAAAGAUAGCAUUAUUAACAGAAUAAAAUGUCCAUAAUUUGAA